GCUGGGUGCAGUGGUGCAUGCCUAUAGUCCCAGCUACUUGGGAGGCUGAGGUGGGAGGAUCACUUGAGCCCAGGAGUUUGAGGCUAUAGUGAGCUAUGAUUGCGUCUGUGAAUAGCCACUGUGGUCCAGCCUGAGCAAAGUAGCGAGACCCUGUCUCUA
ensembl:misc_RNA Metazoa_SRP Metazoan signal recognition particle RNA